GAUGAAGAACGCAGCGAAAUGCGAUACUUGGUGUGAAUUGCAGAAUCCCGUGAACCAUCGAGUCUUUGAACGCAAGUUGCGCCCGAAGCCACUAGGCCGAGGGCACGCCUGCCUGGGCGUCACACGUCGUUGCCCCCCCCCCAUCUACUCCUUCGGGAUUGCGGGGGGCGGAUGAUGGCCUCCCGUGCGCCUAGCCGCGCGGUUGGCAUAAAUACCAAGUCCUCGGCGACGCACGCCACGACAAUCGGUGGUUGCGAAACCUCGGUUGCCCGUCGUGUGCGUUCGUCGCGCAUCGAGGGCUCGAAAAAAUGCUCGGCUCCGGCUCGGCUUUCAACGCGACCCCAGGUCAGGCGGGGUUACCCGCUGAAUUUAAGCAUAUCUAAGCGGAGGA
rnacentral:misc_RNA from 1 species